GUCAAAGUUUUUACUGUUCGUCAACAUAUUGACGCUGCCAUUGAUAUAUUGGUUAAUUUAUUGACGAAAAUUUGAACCGGCGUUCCCACCGUAUAAUUUUGACCUCGGUUAAAUUUGACAGUUCAUUCAAUAAACAAAAAAACGCUAUCUGAUCGACGACAACGGCAACAACCAGUGGCCGAAUUUUCUGCAGUUUAUGUUCCUGUGUGCGAGUGCCCCGACCUGGAAGGAUGCAGGAACCGGCGUUGCGAAUCUUGUUGUCGUUGCCGAGCGUCUUCGGUAACCAGCACGAUCCGUCGUUCGAUCCGGAGAUGCGCGGCUGUCCGAAGACGCUUUGAUGGCGGGGAUGGUUUUGUAACCGGAGCACCAGUAAGUUCGUGAAAAGAACGAUGUUCGAACCGAGACGGAUGAAAGCGGGAUGACGGAUGCAUCUGGUUCCAGCAAGUGCACUGGAGUGAACAUAAAAUACGAAGACUAUCAGAGUAACCGAAAGCGGUCCCUUUUCACUCGCGUACUCCAGUACGACGAGUAUCGAAGCAACGCUCCGAGGUCACCGAUGAACGGAACAUCGGUUAGUCAUCACCCUGUCAGGCGAGGCGAGGAGGACACCAUGAUGAACGUAGGACGUCACGAUUCUUGAGGGCAUCAUCAUCCGGAGGCGAUCGGUUUGAAGAGUCUUCCGGCCACCGGGAUCACACUCUCAUCAUCAAUCCUCCGGGGACAAUCAUCCAGAAGAAUACUAUCAGGAAGAACGUGGUGGACCACGCCGUCAGAAUUUUAGCAAAAUGGGCGGAAGGAAUCCCCUCAUCACGGCAUAAAUUUCGUGACAGUUCCAAUGAAUACGGAUGCUGUGCUUCCUAUUUUCGAAAUGGUGCUUGACUCACGACUUCACACUCUUUUCCUUAAUCACUCUGAAAUUUAUCAACCUUCUUACCAAUUAUUCACAGUCUGUUUUCUUUUCACAGUCACGACUUCACAGUCCCCCACCAAUCACAUUUUCUUCUCAACCACAAUCUUGACUUCAUACUAUUCUUUCCAAUCACAAAAACGUUUUAACACUUUUCUUCGCAAACACUCACGACUUCACAGCAUGAAGUUAUACUCUUCUCCUCAACAUGAUUACGAUUUCACAAGCACUCUCGCGUUUUCACUAUCAUUCACAAACUAAUUCCUAAUCGCUUUCACGAAUUCACCAGAAUUUUUGACUUCACGCUCAUUUUUUUCAAUCACACUAACCUUUUCGCAUUCUUUUUCACUAUCACGUUCACAACUUCACAUUUUUCUCGUAGUCAUACUUACGACUUCACAAUAUUUUUUACAUUCACACAAGUAAGCAUAAGGAAUGUGGGGUCGAUCGAGUUAGAUCUUUCAUCCGAUUUGUUUUGAAUAAAUAAAAAAAUAAUUUUGUUUUAUUUAGUUUAUUGACAAUUUUGCUAGAAAAAAUCAUCAAGAAUCACCAAUCCAUCGGCUCGUGUCCAUCGAAGCCGCUUGGUGUUUUCGAUAUCAAAGAUUAAUUAGAGUUGGCCACCAGCAGGGAAUGUUGAUACUAGGUCACGUGGCCUCGUGUUGGCGAUGCUGGAUCUGUACUUCCGUCGAUCGAAGGCGCAAUUGUAAAGUUGCGUCUGGGGUUUUUUUCAGACACUGCUUGGGAAAGUGGCAGACGGGACGGCGCCGGCAUGUACCGGCCGUGUUCUGGAACUCAACGUUGCGAGAAUUUUCGAUGUUUUUCAACAGCAUGCGAUUCUUUAGACCGUGUCAUGUGGGGUGCGAGUUGUUUGGCCGGAAAGUGCACGGGUCUUGAAUAUUAUCGUGACCAACUAUGGUCCCGGUAAUCGUACAUCAUUUGAUGACACUCGGAAGUCGUAUCCGUACUCCGGAAGUUUUUGGAUCGUCAUGCUCUCGAUAGAAUCAGCUGCUUCAUAUCUCGAUCGCCGCUCGGCACUCUUGCGAAAGUAUAAGCUAUACUUUUGGCUAAGCGCUACGUUGCCUUCGUCUUUCUCCAACGUAGCUCUCCGAAGGCGGACGUAAUUCCGUAAAUUUUUGAAGUUUCCGGACCGAAGCGACGCUUUGUUUUCUGUUACGCUAGAAAAAGUAGAGGUUAGUUCGGGUUGGGUGAUUCAAGAAAGGCUUUGGCGGCACCGGUUGCGCUGACACCAACUGCUCUUGCGCCGCUUCCGUUGCAUCCAUCCAUUUCCUGGCAAUCCCGCCGGUGCUCUUGAUCCGACAAAAGCACCCUUACACCAGCCUGUUGGAGCAGGUUCUUCUGGGACUGAAUACUUUU